AUCUUUCAUGGACGCGUGGCUCAUUUUGAGUGGCUAAAAAAUCUGUGGACAAAAUUUUAACCGACACUUUUUCUUCUCAAAAAUUUCAACCCGAGAAACAACCCUCUUCUUUCUCAAAAAUUCGAACACUUCUUCUCCAAAUUCUCGAUCUCUCCGCCGAACCCGUCGUUAUCUCCGACGAUUUCUCCGACCCGAUGCCCGAGUCCGUCAAUUUCUGGUUCUCUCCGCCGACAUGAUGCCUCAGUUCCUCGUCGAUAAAUCACUGGAUUGGAACGAGAGAGUAAAGACAACAUCUCAAGACCUAGACUUAGUGAUCAUCAUUACCUAUAAGAAAAAGUCUCAAUGAGAUGAGAGAGAACUCAGAAGAAGAACAAAGUUAGAGAGAGAGAAAAAAAGGUAAAUGAUGAAGUGACAGAGUCUGAUCUUGUACAGCUCUGUAAUUUCUGAACUUUCAUUGUACAAUUUAAUAAAGAUUGUUAUGGAUAUGCAUUACACUUUGUUGCGUUAUAAUUAAAUUUGUCUUUGGAAUGGU